rnacentral:rRNA from 1 species
CCUACGGGUGGCAGCAGUGAGGAAUAUUGGUCAAUGGACGAGAGCCUGAACCAGCCAAGUAGCGUGAAGGAUGACGGAUCUAUGGUUUGUAAACUUCUUUUAUAUGGGAAUAAAGUGAGGCACGUGUUCCUUUUUGUAUGUACCAUAUGAAUAAGCAUCGGCUAACUCCGUGCCAGCAGCCGCGGUAAUACGGAGGAUGCGAGCGUUAUCCGGAUUUAUUGGGUUUAAAGGGUGCGUAGGUGGUUAAUUAAGUCAGCGGUGAAAGUUUGUGGCUCAACCAUAAAAUUGCCGUUGAAACUGGUAGACUUGAGUAUAUUAGAGGUAGGCGGAAUGCGUGGUGUAGCGGUGAAAUGCAUAGAUAUCACGCAGAACUCCGAUUGCGAAGGCAGCUUACUGAACUAUAACUGACACUGAGGCACGAAAGUGUGGGGAUCAAACAGGAUUAGAUACCCUUGUAGUC